rnacentral:lncRNA from 1 species
AAAAAUACUGCUUUCCAGUUUUCAAGGAGGGAUUGCAACCUCAGCAAAAUCCUUCCUGGAGAGAUACUCUUUUGCUCCAUCCUCUUCCAUCUGCCUUUCAAUUUCCUCUGUGUAUCUGCUGCUCCUAUCAAAGAGCAGGAAAGGGCAUAACAAGCUUCACUUGUGGUGGAGACAGCUGUACUGGGAGAAAAAUGAAGAAGAACUGGCAUGAACAUUGCUCCUUUUCUCUCUCCAAAUAUACCCUUGCUGGGAUGUUAAAAGGUGGAACAGCCAGGAUUGGCUUUAGGUCUUGA